rnacentral:rRNA from 1 species
UACGGAGGAUGCGAGCGUUAUCCGGAUUUAUUGGGUUUAAAGGGUGCGUAGGCGGUCCGUUAAGUCAGCGGUAAAAUAGCGGGGCUCAACCCCGUCGAGCCGUUUGAACUGGCGCGCUUGAGUUCAGGCGAGGUAGGCGGAAUUCGUGGUGUAGCGGUGAAAUGCAUAGAUAUCACGCAGAACUCCGAUCGCGAAGGCAGCCUACCGGCGCGCUACUGACGCUCAUGCACGAAAGCGUGGGUAUCGAACAGG